GCGCAGCAGGCGAGAAACCUCCGCAAUACACGAAAGUGUGACGGGGCCAUCCCGAGUGCCGUCCGCUGAGGACGGCUUUUUCCCCAGUGUACAUAGCUGGGGGAAUAAGGAGAGGGCAAGCCUGGUGUCAGCCGCCGCGGUAAUACCAGCUCUCCGAGUGUGGGACGCUUAUUGGCCUAAAGCAUCCGUAGCCGGCUGGGCAAGUCCUCCGUUAAAUCCAACGAUUCAAUCGUUGGGCUGGCGGGGGAUACUGUCCAGCUUGGGGGC
rnacentral:rRNA from 1 species